rnacentral:rRNA from 1 species
UACAGAGGUCCCAAGCGUUGUUCGGAUUCACUGGGCGUAAAGGGUGCGUAGGCGGUCGGGUAAGUCUGAUGUGAAAUCUCACAGCUUAACUGUGAAACUGCAUUGGAUACUAUCCGGCUCGAGGAAUGGAGGGGAGACUGGAAUACUUGGUGUAGCAGUGAAAUGCGUAGAUAUCAAGUGGAACACCAGUGGCGAAGGCAGUGUCCUGGGGAGUACCUGACGCUCAGGUGCGAAAGCCAGGGGAGCGAACGGG